rnacentral:rRNA from 1 species
UACGUAGGCAGCAAGCGUUGUUCGGAAUUACUGGGCGUAAAGAGUGUGUAGGCGGUGCUCUAAGUUUGGUGUGAAAUCUCCCGGCUUAACUGGGAGGGUGCGCCGAAAACUGGAAUGCUUGAGCAUGGGAGAGGAAAGCGGAAUUCCUGGUGUAGCGGUGAAAUGCGUAGAUAUCAGGAGGAACACCUGCGGUGUAGACGGCUUUCUGGACCAUUGUUGACGCUGAGACGCGAAAGCGUGGGUAGCAAACAGG